CGGUGGAGCAUGUGGUUUAAUUCGACGCAACGCGCAGAACCUUACCAGCCCUUGACAUCCCGGUCGCGGUUUCCAGAGAUGGAUUCCUUCAGUUCGGCUGGACCGGAGACAGGUGCUGCAUGGCUGUCGUCAGCUCGUGUCGUGAGAUGUUGGGUUAAGUCCCGCAACGAGCGCAACCCCCGUCCUUAGUUGCUACCAUUUAGUUGAGCACUCUAAGGAGACUGCCGGUGAUAAGCCGCGAGGAAGGUGGGGAUGACGUCAAGUCCUCAUGGCCCUUACGGGCUGGGCUACACACGUGCUACAAUGGCGGUGACAAUGAGACGCUAAGGGGCAACCCUUCGCAAAUCUCAAAAAGCCGUCUCAGUUCGGAUUGGAGUCUGCAACUCGACUCCAUGAAGUUGGAAUCGCUAGUAAUCGUGGAUCAGCAUGCCACGGUGAAUACGUUCCCGGGCCUU
rnacentral:rRNA from 1 species